UCCCAGCAGUCCAAGUCGCAGCCACAAUUAUUGGGUCUAAAACAUCCGUAGCUUGCUUGGUAAGUCAUUUGUCAAAUCGGGCCUCUUAAGGGUCCGGCGUGCAAAUGAUACUGCCGAGCUUGGGACCGGGAGACGUAACGAGUACGUAUGGGGUAGCGGUAAAAUGUGUUGAUCCUAUACGGACUAACAACAGCGAAGGCACGUUACGAGCACGGAUCUGACAGUGAGGGAUGAAGGCUAGGGGC
rnacentral:rRNA from 1 species